rnacentral:rRNA from 1 species
GUCUACGGCCAUAUCACGUUAAAAACACCGGUUCUCGUCCGAUCACCGAAGUUAAGCAACGUCGUGCCCGGUUAGUACUNGGAUGGGUGACCGCCUGGGAAUACCGGGUGCUGUAGGCU